GUUGGUUGCUAAGGACGCGCUUUGUGCUGUGAAACGCUGGAGAUGCGCUCGAAUAAACCGCACGACGCUCGCACUAAAGCGCCGCCUGCGCGAUUCCUGCCGCCUGCGGGUCACAGCUAUCAGCAGCAUCUGGCAGCAGUGCGGGCUUUACUGCCCGACAGACGGAGCAAACCCAUCCUCAACGCGUCGGAGCUUGAUCUGAAGUUAUCAAAUGACCUGCAGAAAGCACUGAGUGUGGACUCAUUGAAACCAAACCCGUCCAAAACCGACGCUCGUCUGCAGGUGUCUCCGGGUCUGUCCUGUGACAGCGAGCUCUCGGCUGCGGGUCGCUGUGUCUUCUCUCUUCCCGUGGCUCUUCCCGUGGGGAUGCUGGUGGAUAUGGGGCCCCAGGUGUACCGGGUGAAGAGAGCCGCUCACAGCGCGGGGUCCACGUCCCCGCAGAGCAAAGCAGCGCUCGCUCACAUGCGCGGAAGUCUGCGUGACAGUUCCGUCCCGUGUUUCCCGUCUGCCUUCGGCUUCAGAGAUGACAUCACUUCCUGCCCGGAGAGACUGGAUCUGGACCGGUAUCCUGUUCAUUUAAAAAACACCUA
rnacentral:lncRNA from 1 species